UCCACUUCGUUGCGAUAAUUGUUCGCUCCUGUGUUUCACUUUUCUCUCAGUGUGUGAUAGUUCAACAUGGCGGAAAGAUAUACCAUCAAUAUGAUCACUCCCGAUACUAAAGAUUGGACCUUUAAAUUCCAAGUUGUUGAUAAAAGUCGACCAAGGGACAACAAAAAUAAAAUCACAAAAUACCAAGUCUUAGUUCUGCAAGAUGAAGAGGAGAAUCAAGUUCAAGCCACUAUUUUUAGUACCGAUAUAACAUAUUUUGAAAAAGAAUUUGCUCCUUUCAGGACUUACUUGGUAUCUGUUGCACAUGUGAAAUUACCACCUCUUGGAUACGAAAAUCCACUUAACAAAUUCAUUUGGACACUCGAUAAAAACACCAUUGUUGAACCAGUUGAAGAGGUCAAACCUCCCG